GUGGGGAAUAUUGGACAAUGGGCGAAAGCCUGAUCCAGCAAUGCCGCGUGAGUGAUGAAGGCCUUAGGGUUGUAAAGCUCUUUUACCAGGGAUGAUAAUGACAGUACCUGGUGAAUAAGCUCCGGCUAACUCCGUGCCAGCAGCCGCGGUAAUACGGAGGGAGCUAGCGUUGUUCGGAAUUACUGGGCGUAAAGCGCGCGUAGGCGGUUUAUCAAGUCAGGGGUGAAAUCCCGGGGCUCAACCCCGGAACUGCCCUUGAAACUGGUUCACUAGAAUCCUGGAGAGGCGAGUGGAAUUCCGAGUGUAGAGGUGAAAGUCGUAGAUAUUCGGAAGAACACCAGUGGCGAAGGCGACUCGCUGGACAGGUAUUGACGCUGAGGUGCGAAAGCGUGGGGAGCAAACAGGAUUAGAAACCCUUGUAGUCC
rnacentral:rRNA from 1 species